rnacentral:lncRNA from 1 species
GCACAUCUGGACGGAACAGUCUCUGGAAAUGCGAGGAUUCAUCUAUCCAUUCUGGAGAGAGAAGGAGAAUGGUGUGGAGGGGCAGAGGAAGAAGGAGAGAGAAACCCAAGUAGACUCUACGCUGAGAACAGAGCCCCAUUCAGGGCCUGAUUCCAAGACCCUAAGAUCAUGACCCAAGCUGAAAUCAAGAGUCAGACGUGCAACCGAAUGCACCAUGCUGGUGCCCUGAAAUUGACUGAUUUUUAAAUGAAGGCAACAAACUCACAUUAAACAGAAGUCAGCUACAUGUUUUGGGCAAACAAAAAUAUCCUGCCUCCAGGGCAUCUCUCUGAAACCUACUUGUUAGUCAAUGAUAGCAUACUCUUGGGGCGAUAUCCAUCAGCCUAGGGAGUGUCCAGAGACUCCAUUACUAUUACUAAUGCUGCAGUGAAGAGCC